CUUCCAAGUAACAAUUACAGACCUUUUUUCAAGUUAAGCUUAAAAGCAAGCAAAUAUUUUAAAUCCAGAAUAUUAGGUUAGAGCAACAAUAAAGCUAAAAUAAAAUAAGAAUGAAAAAAGAUGCAGAGCUUGAAACAUAUAAGAUGUUUCACAUUUACAGUUCCUAAACUUCCUCCUUCUUCUAAUCAAGCAGAGUCACAUGAUCCCAGAUGCUGCUGCACUAUUUGAUGAAACAGAGGGAGCGAGGGAUCCAUUCUUUGGAGUUAUGGAGACUGGUUAUGGCCUGCCAAGUCCAAGCAGCCUCAUCCAGCGAAUGGAAGAGGUCUUACCUGAGCAAGUCCCGCCCACUAGAGAACCAACACCACCUUCAGAUGGUGAGUACUGUAAUGUGAUCCACUGCCACAGCAGCACACUUUUACAAAUAUCAAUAGUCUUUCAAAUGAUGCUAUGGGAAUUUGCACAGUCAAAGUAAUGAUAAUAACAGACCAGUAAUAACAAAAAUGAGAAGACAGACAUAUAGAAAUGUGCAUUUUAUGUAUUUUUAAACCUCCUUAUUUCCCCUCUAGGCAUCACGGCCAGCCAGGAGUCCAUCACCCUGACAGAAAGAGAGCCAGUCGUCAUGCCUGAGCCAGAGGUACAGCUGUCACUCAGUGUUAUCACCAUAUAAUCGCUGUAUAAAAUCCUGAAUGCUGUUUCUCUCAUUCCUCAGUUUGAAGGAGCAGAUCUGCAGGAGUCUGACAUGAUCGAGCUACUGCUGGAGCAGCCGGAUCACUUUCUUGAGCGUGAGUGAUGGCAACAUGCUGUUUUCAUUCACACCCUUAAUUAUGUGCAGUAAUUAUCCAGAUCCAGAUUACACAUGCACAGACUAAAUGUACAACUCACACGAAACAUGUUCAUAUUUCACCCUGAAAUCAAUUAAUGUUAUGAAAAGAAUUUAAAUAUUCAUGCUUUUCAUAAAAUAUAUUUUUAUUAAAAUUAUUAUGUUUAAAUUGUGACAUUAUCUAUCUAUCUAUCUAUCUAUCUAUCUAUCUAUCUGUCUGUCAUAUUUUUUUUAUGUAAGUCAAUGGCUCAAAUGAACUGUUUGAUUACAGACAUUCUUCAAAAUAUCUUCUUUUGUGUUUAGUAGAUGAAAGUAGAUGAAAAGGUUUGGAACAACCGGAGUGUGAGCAAAUCAUGACAGAAUUUUCAUUUUUAGGUGAACUGUCCCAUCAGGUUUUCUGGGAUUUGCCCAAACACUCACAAUGAUUCAGUCCUCAGUUCAUGUGGUUUCAUCAGUUUCAGCCCUUUCUGUCAUGUUGUGUCUUGUUUUAUAUCAUAGAGAUAUUUUAAAUGAGUUUUAGGCUUAAUUUGAGAAGGCUUUUUUCUUUGCAGGUGACGAUGAGAGGCAGCUGGAGAUAGACAGGGAAAGAGAGCAGAUAGAGAAAGAGACAGAAGAGGACAGAGAGCCCAGGAUGCCUGAUGAAAGAGAGCAA
ensembl:lncRNA